UUCAUUUUGCUUUGAUAGUCAGGCUAAGUAAUAAAUAAUUAAUCGUGUAAAUUGUGCUUAUUAAAGUAUAAAAAGUAAAUUAAACAAAUAUUGAAUAAUGAUAAAUAGUUAUGUAUAUAACCUGACUUGAAAAAGUGCAAACUUGCGUAUGGAUACUAAGUGCGCUAUUUUUUUUUAUAGUUAAACGUAAUUGUUGCAAAAUAACCUAUUUGUAAAUUUAUUUUUAAUAAAAAGGCGCAUUUAGUGUUUGAGCCGUAUGCCAUGAAAGUGGCACGUACGGUUCUGGGAGGGGGAAAGCUCGAAAGGGCCUACCUAUCUCAACUAGGCACCCUAGUAGUCUUUGCAGAAAACGCUGAAUGCUAUAGGUUAGAAUUUAUUUUGGCCUAUAAACGAAAGUGUAAGCAUUCCACCUCAAGAGUAAUGCGGCAACGUAGAAACUGAAAUCAUUAGACCGUUUCUUGAAACCAGUAGUGAAGUAUGUUAUUUAAUUCGAUGACCCACGAAAAAUCUUACCAUAACUCGCAUGGCUAGUAAAAUAUAAAAAUUAUAAUUAUUUUGUAAACGAAUUAUCAAAUAUGUAAAAAAAAUAAUACAUACAUAAUAAUAGAUAAUAGAUAAAUUUUAUCAUAUGGAUUUAUUUUUUAUAAAUAAAUCAUAUAUACUUUCGCCACAGGUGUUGCACGGCUGUCUUAAGUUAAUGUCGUGAGAUCAUGGUUAGAUCCAACAAUUAGCGUAAGCCCAUAGUUUAUUUAAUAAAAUAUAAAAUAUUAAUAUAUUUAAUAUAAAAAAAUUUAUUAUAAAAUAUAUUAAGCAAAUAAUGUAUAAAUAAUUUUGUUUAUAAGUAGUAAAUAAUUUAAUAGAGGAAUUUAGGUAUAUUAUCAACUAAAAGGCUCUAAUCGUGGCGUGUCGUGUCAUGCCACGAGCGGAGGGGAGAGAAACGAUAAUUAUAAUAUUUAUUAAUACCAAUAUAAAUAUAUAUUAUUAAAAAAUUUUAAAUUGUUUAUAAAUUAUUUGUUUUUAUAAAUAAAUAGAUUAGUCCACUAAGAAAAUGGCAAGUGAUAACCGGGAGUAAGACAAGUCAUCAUGGCCCAUCCUAUUCAAAAAAAUUAAUGUUAUGGGCUAUAAGACGUGCCACAUAUGCCUUUACAAAGGGAUGCGAAGACGUGAGUCUAAGCUAAACCCCCAAAAAAGGAAACAAAACCCUAUAUGGAUUGUAGUCUGAAAUUCGACUACAUGAAAAAGAAAUUACUAGUAAUCGUGUAUCACGACGGCACGGUGAAUUAUAUCUCAGAUUGGUACUAACCACUCGUCAGGCGCUGAAAAUUGUGAGUGCAAUAAGUUUGGUAGGCUCAAGAAAAUGUAUAAGCAACUGAGCUUAUGGCGUUUAAGAGUCUAUCUUCGUAUGUGACACUUUGAUUGGUGUUAAGUCGAACAACCAAAAAAGAAAUUGA
rnacentral:rRNA from 1 species